AGCAGCCGCGGUAAUUCCAGCUCCAAUAGCGUAUAUUAAAGUUGUUGCAGUUAAAAAGCUCGUAGUUGAAUUUCGGGAUCAGUACGCUGGUCGUGCCUUCGGUAUGUACUGGUGUUACUGGUUCCUACCUUCUGACGAGCCGUCAUGUCAUUAAUUUGGUGUGGCGGGGAAUCAGGACUGUUACUUUGAAAAAAAUUAGAGUGUUUAAAGCAGGCUCGCGCUUGAAUACAUUAGCAUGGAAUAAUGAAAUAGGACGUUCGAUCCUAUUUUGUUGGUUUCUAGGAUUGACGUAAUGAUUAAUAGGGAUAGUUGGGGGCAUUAGUAUUCAAUUGUCAGAGGUGAAAUUCUUGGAUUUAUUGAAGACUAACUACUGCGAAAGCAUUUGCCAAGGAUGUUUUCAUUAAUCAAGAACGAAAGUUAGGGGAUCGAAGACGAUCAGAUACCGUCGUAGUCUUAACCAUAAACUAUGCCGACUAGGGAUCGGAUGAUGUUAUUUUUUAAUGUACU
rnacentral:sRNA from 1 species